GCUAGGAGUGGUGGCUCACCCCUGUAAUCUCUGCUUCUUGGGAGGGCAGAGGCUGAUGGACUGUCGGAGCUCUGGAGCUCAAGCUGCAGUAGAGUUGAAGUCAAUCAAUUGUCUGCAGUAAGUCUAGUACCAAUACAGUGAGCCUCCUGGAGUUGGGGACCACCACGCUGUCUAAGGAGGAGUGCAGUGACUAAGAUUGGAAAUGGAACAGGUCAAAGCUACCAUUCCAAUCAAUAGAAGAGGAUCUCUGAGUGGCUGUUGAACUUCCAGUCUGGACAAGAUAGGGAGAUCCAGUCUCA
rnacentral:SRP_RNA from 1 species